rnacentral:misc_RNA from 1 species
GAUGAAGAACGUAGCGAAAUGCGAUAAGUAGUGUGAAUUGCAGAAUUCAGUGAAUCAUCGAAUCUUUGAACGCACAUUGCGCCCCUCGGCAUUCCGUGGGGCAUACCUGUUCGAGCGUCAUUUCAACCAUCAAGCCCCAGGCUUGCGUUGGAGCCCUGCGGCUGCCGCAGCCUCCUAAAAGCAGUGGCGGGCUCGCUAUCACACCGAGUGCAGUAGAUUACUCUUCGCUCAGGGCGUGCAGCGGGUUCCGGCCGUGAAACCCCCUACUUUUAAAGGUUGACCUCGGAUCAGGUAGGAAUACCCGCUGAACUUAAGCAUAUCAAUAAGCGGAGGA